GUCUGUGAUUAAAGUCAAUGGGAAACUACAAUAACCCAAUCCAGGCAGGAUGACAAAGGGCACAGACCCUUCAGGAAUGAAGAUCAAGAUAUGAACUCUCAGCUGUCCCUGCUGCCAUGAAUUUGCCAUGGACUAUGAUCCUCUGAAACUAUUGGCCAGAUAGUUCUGCUUGUCAAGAUGUUGCUGGGUGCUGAGACCAGCAGCUUUGCUCUCAAGCCCACAGGUGGUGCUGGCUGCCAGCUGGGAGCUCAACAGGGCUGUGAACCAAUGCAUUUGGUCUUCCUCCACAGGAGCCUUUCUUGUUGGAUGUUUUCCUCACUACAGGAGGACCUGAUGGAGAAGGGAUCCUUGUGCAUCGGUCAGUGGAUUGUUUGCAAUAGAUUCAAUGCUAGAUUUACUGUCUUUCUGCCCCUGCUCUCUGCCCAGAAGCACUGACCUCCGUGACUACACCAGCAGUUCCCUUGUCACCUGCCUUCCCCUGUUCUUAGGGGAUGCUUGGCAUGGGAGUAGGAGGAAGUCAAGGAGACCAGAGAGACUUCUUCCCUCACUUCCUUCAUGCUGUGGUGCUGUCAUGCUGCAGUGGCUAUCCAGUAUCCAGCCUUCAUGGCCUAAGCAGAGUAAACUUUCUUCAUCUUGUACCCAUAUGUAAGGGGACAGAAAUCACCCUAGGGCCUGUCUACACCUCUUGUUUCCCUGAACUCUGCUCCCAUCUUUGUACACAAUACCUUUAAUAAACCAC
rnacentral:lncRNA from 1 species